GGCUAACGCUGGCGGCGUGUCUUAGCCAUGCAAGUCGUGCGGGGGUAAGGUUGAACCUUCGGGUUUGACCUUACCUUAGCGGCGGACGGCGGAGUAACACGUGGCUAACCUGCCCUCCGGUGGGGGACAACCCGGAGAAAUCCGGGCUAAUACCCCAUACUGUCCCGAAGGGGCAUCCCUUUGGGAUGAAAGCGGGCCUCUGCUUGCAUGCUCGCGCCGGAGGAGGGGGCCGCGGCCUAUCAGCUAGUUGGUGGGGUAACGGCCCACCAAGGCUGCGACGGGUAGCCGGCCUGAGAGGGUGGCCGGUCCGAGGGGCACUGAGACACGGGCCCCACUCCUACGGGAGGCAGCAGGCUAGAAAUUUGGGCAAUGGGGGAAACCCUGACCCAGCGACGCCGCGUGCGGGACGAAGCCCCUCAGGGGUGUAAACCGCUGUCAGGGAGGACGAUGCUUCUGUGGGCGAAUAACCCACAGGGGUGACGGUACUCCCAGAGGAAGCCCAGGCUAACCUCGUGCCAGCAGCCGCGGUAAUACGGGGUGGGCAAGCGUUGCCCGGAAUCACUGGGCUUAAAGGGGAUGUAGGCGGUCUGGUAAGUCGGGCGUGUAAUCCACAGGCUUAACCUGUGAACUGCGCCCGAAACUAUCAGGCUAGAGGAUGGGAGAGGAGAGCGGAACUCCCGGUGUAGCGGUGAAAUGCGUAGAUAUCGGGGGGAACGCCGGUGGCGAAGGCGGCUCUCUGGCCCAUUCCUGACGCUGAGGUCCGAAAGCCAGGGUAGCGAAGGGGAUUAGAUACCCCCGUAGUCCUGGCCGUAAACGAUGGGUGCUAGGUGUGGGGAGCUUGACUCUCCGUGCCGAAGGGAAACCGAUAAGCACCCCGCCUGGGGAGUACGCCCGCAAGGGUGAAACUCAAAGGAAUUGACGG
rnacentral:rRNA from 1 species